rnacentral:rRNA from 1 species
CCUACGGGAGGCAGCAGUAGGGAAUCUUCCACAAUGGGCGAAAGCCUGAUGGAGCAACGCCGCGUGAGUGAAGAAGGAUUUCGGUUCGUAAAACUCUGUUGUAAGGGAAGAACAAGUACAGUAGUAACUGGCUGUACCUUGACGGUACCUUAUUAGAAAGCCACGGCUAACUACGUGCCAGCAGCCGCGGUAAUACGUAGGUGGCAAGCGUUGUCCGGAAUUAUUGGGCGUAAAGCGCGCGCAGGCGGUCCUUUAAGUCUGAUGUGAAAGCCCACGGCUCAACCGUGGAGGGUCAUUGGAAACUGGGGGACUUGAGUGCAGAAGAGGAAAGUGGAAUUCCAAGUGUAGCGGUGAAAUGCGUAGAGAUUUGGAGGAACACCAGUGGCGAAGGCGACUUUCUGGUCUGUAACUGACGCUGAGGCGCGAAAGCGUGGGGAGCAAACAGGAUUAGAUACCCUGGUAGUCCACGCCGUAAACGAUGAGUGCUAAGUGUUAGGGGGUUUCCGCCCCUUAGUGCUGCAGCUAACGCAUUAAGCACUCCGCCUGGGGAGUACGGUCGCAAGACUGAAACUCAAAGGAAUUGACGG